rnacentral:lncRNA from 1 species
GUGCUGGUGUCGGGACCGGGAGAUAGGAGUGUCUCAGGAGAGACCUGGCCGAAAACCGCGAGAAAGAAAAGUGAAGCCUAGUGAAACUGCCUUUGCAGUGACUCAAGAAAAACUCAUCACCUGGAGUCCGUGUAAGCUCGGCGACAGCCCUAGCAGCGAGGCCAAAACAGUUUGGGAAGAAAGAAAACCUAAAGUAUUUGCCGUUGGUGAUUCAAGGGAAUCAAACUUGACGUAUGGAGCCAAGAAAGCCCUUGGAAAAACUGGCCUCAUAUUUUGUGUACACAGUCCCUGUACAGGGUUUCUGACCUGUGGAUGUGAGACUUCACAACCUGCUAAAAAUGAGCUUUCAGGACCUACCCAUAUAGGAAUAAACCAUCCUAGCCAUGAGAGAUCAGAUGAAACCUGAGACCAGAGAGACUCAUUUGUUUCAAAAUAGUUUCUCCAAAAGAUUUUAUAAAAGAAAAGGCUGGGGGGAGUGGGAUAUGAAAGGAAAAUGAAUCUUGGGGCCCCCAAAUCACUAAGCUCAAGGGAUAAGUCAAGUUAGAAACUGUUCAGGGCCAACUUACCUUGCAUUCUAUUCAAAUUCACCCCUCUGCUCACUUAGAUGCAUAUCUGAUUGUAAUCAGAAACUCAAAAGAAUGCAGCAGUUUGUCUCUCACCUAUCUAUGACCUGGAAGCCCCCUUCCCCGUUUGAGUCUUCCUGCCUUUGCUUCACUUUAUCCCUGCCUUUCUAGACUGAACCAACAUACUUCUUAGAUAUAUUGAUUGAUGUCUCAUGUCUCCCUAAAAUGUAUAAAACUAAGCUGGGCCCCAACCACCUUGGGCACAUGUCGUUAGGACUUCCUGAGACUGUGUCACAAGUUUGUGUCCACAACUUUGACA